GAUGAACGCUGGCGGCGUGCCUAAUACAUGCAAGUCGAGCGAACAGAUGAGGAGCUUGCUCCUCUGACGUUAGCGGCGGACGGGUGAGUAACACGUGGAUAACCUACCUAUAAGACUGGGAUAACUUCGGGAAACCGGAGCUAAUACCGGAUAAUAUAUUGAGCCGCAUGGUUCAAUAGUGAAAGACGGUUUUGCUGUCACUUAUAGAUGGAUCCGCGCCGCAUUAGCUAGUUGGUAAGGUAACGGCUUACCAAGGCAACGAUGCGUAGCCGACCUGAGAGGGUGAUCGGCCACACUGGAACUGAGACACGGUCCAGACUCCUACGGGAGGCAGCAGUAGGGAAUCUUCCGCAAUGGGCGAAAGCCUGACGGAGCAACGCCGCGUGAGUGAUGAAGGUCUUCGGAUCGUAAAACUCUGUUAUUAGGGAAGAACAAAUGUGUAAGUAACUAUGCACGUCUUGACGGUACCUAAUCAGAAAGCCACGGCUAACUACGUG
rnacentral:rRNA from 1 species